rnacentral:misc_RNA from 1 species
AUUGUACUCCUGCUGCAGUGG